rnacentral:rRNA from 1 species
GAGUAGGGCGGGACACGUGGUAUCCUGUCUGAAUAUGGGGGGACCAUCCUCCAAGGCUAAAUACUCCUGACUGACCGAUAGUGAACCAGUACCGUGAGGGAAAGGCGAAAAGAACCCCGGCGAGGGGAGUGAAAAAGAACCUGAAACCGUGUACGUACAAGCAGUGGGAGCACAGGUUUACCUGUGUGACUGCGUACCUUUUGUAUAAUGGGUCAGCGACUUAUAUUCUGUAGCAAGGUUAACCGUAUAGGGGAGCCGAAGGGAAACCGAGUCUUAACCGGGCGUUAAGUUGCAGGGUAUAGACCCGAAACCCGGUGAUCUAGCCAUGGGCAGGUUGAAGGUUGGGUAACACUAACUGGAGGACCGAACCGACUAAUGUUGAAAAAUUAGCGGAUGACCUGUGGCUGGGGGUGAAAGGCCAAUCAAACCGGGAGAUAGCUGGUUCUCCCCGAAAGCUAUUUAGGUAGCGCCUCGUGAAUUCAUCUCCGGGGGUAGAGCACUGUUUCGGCUAGGGGGCCAUCCCGGCUUACCAACCCGAUGCAAACUGCGAAUACCGGAGAAUGUUAUCACGGGAGACACACGGCGGGUGCUAACGUCCGUCGUGAAGAGGGAAACAACCCAGACCGCCAGCUAAGGUCCCAAAGUCAUGGUUAAGUGGGAAACGAUGUGGGAAGGCCCAGACAGCCAGGAUGUUGGCUUAGAAGCAGCCAUCAUUUAAAGAAAGCGUAAUAGCUCACUGGUCGAGUCGGCCUGCGCGGAAGAUGUAACGGGGCUAAACCAU